GGUUGCCUUGGUGAUGAGAAGUCCCAUCUUGUGGAAUAUUGAGGCUGGAUAGAUGGAUGGGGUGACUGUCUUUUGGGAAGCCUAGGCUCUCCAAGAUAGGCGGACCCCAUGACUCGGGAGUGCAAUAGGAGAAAAGUCCCACAGGGUUCUGAUACCUCCAUUAAUGACUACAGAACUAAGGUUAUUCAAACAGCCCCAGGAGUAUGAAUGCUUUUAAAUGGUUCUGGACGCACUCCAGCUUGACACCUGAAGUCCUCAAGGGAGCUGCUGAGAGGCCUAACGUCAACUCAUCUCAGCCGACUCAUGCACCGGAACUCUGAAGCCAAGCUUUGGUACCCAUGGAAAUGGUCCCAGUUGCAGCCGGACCGGGAAAGAAAGAGUGCUCUAAUGCUCACCCCUCUCUUCCCCGGGCUUCCCCGCCACCCUGCUGAUCUGCUGUACUGGGAACCAAGUGAAGGACUGCACAGGUAGCUACAUUUGAUUUGUUUAGAAACUUACUCCCAGGAAUUCUGUAAGAAACGAGAAAGUCUAAGGAGCUGCUGACCAAUCUCGAAGAAAGAUACAAAUGAGAAGACAGAGAUGAGAGCAGGGCCGGACUCACCGGAAAGAGCAGUGGGGAGAGAGGACGGAAGAACAAACCAACGCCCCAAAGACAGCAUUUUACUCUCCAGGAGAUUGAGACCAAUUGACAGACCCAAUUGUGUGCAUAGUUGAAUCUUUUGAACAAAAAUAUAACAAUCCUCAUUAUGAUUAGAAACAUGAGAGCUAAGAUAAAAU
ensembl:lncRNA